CUACCUUGAAAUCAAAUUGGAAACUGAGUGGAAAAAUAGUUCUCCUCUUGACCCUCUCUGCGUUUAUACUCCAAUCUACACCCAACGCAUGGCUUUGUUGUACACUCUGUAUGAGUGCCCUCUAUAAUUAAACCUUUAUUCAAAUCUCCUCCUGCCUUCUUCAUCACCCUUGGUUAGAUCAAAACAGGAGAGGCAAAAAAAAAAAAAGGAACUUGUCUGGGGUGCAGAAGCAGAGAGGAAGAGAUACUAUUUAAUGAAGCAGGCUAACGGUGGUGGGGAGAGAAAGUCUCAGUUCUCCCAUCUCAGAAACAUUGAGCCUGGAAAUAUUGCUGAAAUCACAUUUGGGAACAAAGCUCCGCUUUAAGUAGGCUCACCCAUGAGUGUUGCUAAGCAAUGGAGAGAAGGCGAGAGAGGGAGAGCGCCUGACUUCAGGAUUAGAAGGAUAGAUAGAAGGAAAACCACUAAGGCUUCUAUGUAGCCUUAUUUAAAGUCAGCUUCCAAGUCCUAUGUUUUUCUUGCCUGUCUUCUGACCUAUUUGCACCACAAUUAAUCAAAUAUGGUUCAGUAUCACCACGCAUCCAGCACAGAGUUGCGCCGCGUCCUGGAGCUCUGGCACAAGCAGUUACGCACCAGAACUGUCAACAUGUCUCCACAUUGAACAGCAUUCCAGACACUUCCAAGAAGGUUGGUGCCAAGAGACUAUGCAGCGAGUCUGCUUCUCCAGCUGGAUGGACACUUGCUCUCCCCAACCCUUACACCACAGUCACGCUAAGGGUGCGACACUGCCUUAGUUGGCACACCCUCAGAUAUUCCCCAGCCUUGGGAACCAAGUUUGUCAUUCUUAACCAUUCUUAAAAGUAGUACUUAUAAGCCCGAAAGAGCAAACAGCUAGCACUCUCUUUAGGGUGUCCCUCUUCCCACCCCCCUUUUUUUUGGGGGGGGGGGGGGGGGGGGCAAGCUUUAAUAACCCAGAGGUGUGAACAGAUGAAAGUGAUUCUGCCAAAGCCAACAACUCAAAAUACAAAAUAAUUCUAUUCCCUGCCUGGUGACUUCUAAAUUUCCUUGGCUAGUCCUCAAAGUUUCUUGCAGAGACCAGAGGCCCUUAUCUGAUGGAAUUCAGCAUCAGUAACUUCAAAGUUGUGCUCUGCAGGCGUGAUGGGGAAAUCAAUCCAACCACGAUACGCAGUGAUUAGAUCAGCUAUUGCCACUCAGAAGAGAAAUGUGUGGACAGUCUUGUAUAAGCGUUAGCUCAGCAUUCAUCAACAAAGGAAAAAUGCAUCAGAGGAACAACACUUCAAGGAGCAG
rnacentral:lncRNA from 1 species